GACGAACGCUGGCGGCGUGCCUAAUACAUGCAAGUAGAACGCUGAAGAGAGGAGCUUACUCUUCUUGGAUGAGUUGCGAACGGGUGAGUAACGCGUAGGUAACCUGCCUUGUAGCGGGGGAUAACUAUUGGAAACGAUAGCUAAUACCGCAUAACAAUGGAUGACACAUGUCAUUUAUUUGAAAGGGGCAAUUGCUCCACUACAAGAUGGACCUGCGUUGCAUUAGCUAGUAGGUGAGGUAAUGGCUCACCUAGGCGACGAUACAUAGCCGACCUGAGAGGGUGAUCGGCCACACUGGGACUGAGACACGGCCCAGACUCCUACGGGAGGCAGCAGUAGGGAAACUUCGGCAAUGGGGGCAACCCUGACCGAGCAACGCCGCGUGAGUGAAGAAGGUUUUCGGAUCGUAAAGCUCUGUUGUAAGUCAAGAACGGGUGUGAGAGUGGAAAGUUCACACUGUGACGGUAGCUUACCAGAAAGGGACGGCUAACUACGUG
rnacentral:rRNA from 1 species